AGUUGUGGUUUUUCACCUUUGGCAGGCCGGGGAGCGCAAAGGAGAGGCCUCAGGUCUGGUGUCGCCCCAGACUCACAAGGACGAUGGACCCUGGGCCUGAGUAGGAGGGGAUGGUCAGUCCGAAGAUGUACUUGAGCACCGAGAUCAGAAUCUGCAGGCCGGCAGCCGUCAUGAAGCCCCGGAUAAAGGACUCAGACAGCACCUCUCUAUAUUGCCCAGGCUGGCCUCCACUUGCAAAUCUCCUGCCUCAGCCUCCUAAGUAGCUGGGAUUCCAGGUGAUGCCACCAUGCCCAGCUGGGCGUUUCAUCUCUAACACACUUGGGGCCAGGUCUUCUCCUCCCAUACUUGGUCCCCACACCAACCCCCGUCUUCACUCCAAGACCGCAAGACAUACAGAAGAAUGCGAAGACCUCUACAGUGAACCCUGUGGGUUCACAACCAGCAGGCUGCUACUAAUGUCCUGUCACGUGCAUCAUGACAUCACGAGUCUGUCCCACCGUCCGCCCCUCUGUCUCUCCACGAGUCCUCCAAUUCAGGGCAGUGUUUUGGACCAAGGUGCAGCCAGCAGUGCCCGUGGGGGCCAACUCUCCCAUGCUGUAUCAUUAACAGGAGUUCACGUUUCUCGCAGCUAUUUUACUUCUUCUGAGACAGGUUUUGCCUGUGGUGGGUGCACAACAUGCGUCAGCUGUGGUCGUGGUGUGCGCCCUGGCACAUUCCCACACCUGUGCCACUGGGAGGCGGACCUAGCUCCCUGCAGAUCUUUUUCUACCUCAGAGUUAGUUUUGCUCGUUCUUUAACUCCACUCCUGUGAAUGAAGUCGUGCAGUGUGUACUCUUGUGAAGGUCUCUCUCCCGCUGCAUAAACGACUCCUGCGUUCUUUGGCCUGCUCCGUCUCCAACCUGGCCAGUUCACCCCUCCUUAGGCAAUCUGGUGGUCCCCGCUCUCAGGAGGUCACCAUAUUGAUGCCGAACUUAGUGCGGACAUAGUGCACUGCAGGCCAGAACUCCUGGACUCCAGCGACCCUCUGGCCUCAGCCUCCCGAGUAGCUGGGGCUACAGGCUUGUGCCACCACGCCCGGCUCCUGCGUUCUUUGGAAAAGAAUCUGCUUCACAUCGUGCCAGACUUCUUUUUAGCCAUCAAACAACAUGUCCCCAAAUCUAAUCUUCGUUAUAUCCAGAGGAGCCAGGCUCACAGGGCAGGGUCUGCACCCCAGGGUGCCCAUUCUGUUUGUCCUUCGUCAGCCAAAUGUUAACCUGGCACGGGGUCAGGCGCGCCUGUGAGAUGUGCAGUUCCUCAGCCUCCUGCUUCCUCUUUCUGUGCUGAGGUCCCUCUCGGCCCCCCCUUCCAACUCCAGCGCUCGGGGCUCUGCUUCUUCAUGCCCUCCCCACCCCCUCGGUGGGCAGGAUCUGAUAAGGAACCGUUUACACGCGGUAGCUGAUAGUCCGGUUACACUGUAACUGGACCGCCCUCCACCUGGCCCGUGCUGCCUCUCUGGGGUAUUGACUUGUUCUGCUUUUAUCUCUGAGUGGGGCCCGAUAGGCUCUGUUCCUCUCAGACUUCCACUGAGGCCCCCUAAGGACAGGGAGCAUGAACACAUCCCCAUCCUGCUCAGGCGAUGCUCUAUUUUCCUUCAAACAGAUUGUCAUGGAUGUUUUCAUGGGGGAGAUUGAACCCAGGGGUGCUCUAUCAUUUCCAGCUACAUUUCCAGCUGUUUUUAUUUUUUAUUUUGAGAUGAGCUCUCAUUAAGUCACUAGACUGUAGGCUGGCCUCAAAGUUGCAAUCCCCUGCUUCAGACUCUCAUAUAGCUGGGCUAGCCACUGUGGGGUGUCAAAGAUUUUUAUUUAUCAUUAGACUCAACCCGUAGAUAAAGUACAGAAGGCUUAGACCCACGAUGCUAUCCAAGAGAGACGCACCCCAAGGAGAGCGGCUAUCUAGAGCUAACACAUUGUAAUAACAGAGCAGCUAAGAACCAAGUAAAUAAGCGCACUGUACACAUACAUAUUGGGUGACCCAAAGACAGCUACCAGAAGACCCAAAUUACCAAACAUGAGGAGGCCAGAGAGGGCAGGGGGACCGGCUUCAAUGAAGGUCACUGAAGGUCACUGAAGGAUUGUAGGUUACCCAUGAGUGAUGCCAUGGGGUCCCCAUGUCCACCUGGCCAAGUUUACCUGUCACAGAACAGCGGCCUCCCCUUCCUGGGUCCCCCAAGUCCGGGAGGAAAAGCCAGUUUGUAGGGUUCUGCUUCCCUUGGUGUAGGGUCCCAGCCUGACACAGUGUGCCCUAGGUUGGGGGACAUAGCCUUUCACAAGCAUUUGGGGCACUGGUAGCAAAUGAGAAAAGGCGUGUGGGAUGCGAGGAACCUAGAAAAUCACUCUUGGCCCAUUCUGCUGGCCCCAAAGGGGAGCCAGGUUGGCCCUUUGUCCAGAGUUUGAUUGUAGGGGGUCCAGCCUUCUCGUGGUCUCUGCUCUGGGGAUGCUGGCUGAGCCGUGGAAGCUUUCUUCUGAAACAACUCGGAGUGGAGAGGUCCGGCUUCCUCCCUGGGCAAGAGGCCACCCGGAACGGCACAGAGCAGCCUCCCUUCCCACACCUGCUGCUCACCUGCAGGCCUUUCCCCCAGCCCCAACCUCACCUUGAGCACACGUGGGUUCCUCCAGCCUGGCUCUACUUGAGAACCUCCUGGAGGAGCUGAAGAACAAAUAUGCAGAAUCUUAGGCCCUGUCCCUGGAUAUUUAGUGCCACUGUGUCUUUGUGGGACAGUCACGUGAGCUUUGUAAAAGCUCCUGAGAUGGCUCGAGCAUGCGAUGAGGCGUGGGAGGCCCAGCCUUGCCCCAGUCCUGGCUGCUUUCCCCACCUCCCCUCCCAGCCUCCCAGUAUUCUUAGGAAGUGGGUCAAGUUGUGGACCAGCUCCUUACGGGACCCUAGUGCAGCCCCAGCUAAGUUCUUCCUCUGAACACCAGGCUCCUGCCUUCCCUCUUCCCCUCCCCCUUCUUUGCCUUGAUUCUCUAGUCUCUAAGGUGAGGAGGGGUGUCGGUGACAUAACCAGACAGCACCCCAGCCCUUCCCAAGCCCCAUCUCCUUUCUAAGCUUGUGUAAAGCAGUGGAACCAGUGAUACCAUCUCAGACUGUGACCUCCACAAAGGAAAACAUGUGCCAAGAAUCCGCAUGGAAGUGUGGGGACGUAACCCUCCUAACAGUUCCAGGGCAUCUUUGUAGGGCAAAACUAAAGAAAGAAAAAAACCCCAGCUAUAGUAAGUGGUGAACAGUGUCUAACCCCAGAAUAAAACUUCAGCAGCAGUGAAGGGCGAAGGAGAGGUGAUUCUGGAUUGGAGACACUGCUGUAGCUUCUCAGAUUGCAGCCGCUGCCUGCCGAGCGGCUGGAGGCAGAAGAAACACAUCUGAGCUACAGCUUGGUAGCUACCUCCUCCUUCUCCAGCAAGGACAAAUAAAGGAUUUUCUGUAGAAAAAAAUCACUGGAGUCUAUGGAAAACUCACUUGAAAAGCCAGUAACAUUAUAUAUGUGACUCUUCUGCAAAUGAUCUUGUUCCUAGAACUUCCGGCCUGUCGUUCGCCACCAGUCUGGUUCCGAUCCAGGCCAGGGUGUGAGAUGGUGGCAAAUCAGUGCCCAGAGCCCAGAGUCUGGGACUCCCUAAUGCUGCCUGCGAGACCCUCCUUAGUGGGGCUCUCCCAAAGAAGGCGGGAGCUUAGCCAGGGCAGGGAGAGGGUGGCAGAACCCCAAAGCCUGCUUCCUCCCGGAGCCCUAGCUGGACGCAUCAGCCUGAGCUGACAGACCCUCCUGAGCUGCCCUGCUGCCUCGAGAAGGGAGCUCCCAGUCAGCCACUGUGCCUGGAGGCGGAGCCAGACCCGCUGCUCCUCUGGGGACUGUGACAGCGCCUCGCCUUUUCUCCUCACGACCCCCUUCCAAGUUCUUGCUCCCAGACACCACACUUUGUAAGGAUGCAGCAUUCAGAGGAAGAACUCUUUCCUUCCUACAUUUUCUUCCUGCUUCUGAAUGCAAUUAUUGCUCACUCUGAAAAUUCAAAUAAAAUAGUAAUGUGGAAAUGCCAAA